rnacentral:rRNA from 1 species
GAAUUUUAUAUUUGUAUUAUUUAUAAGUUAAGUUGAAUUUAAGUUGUAUAAAUAUUUUAUUGGGAGGGUAGUUAAAUUAAUUAAACUUUAAUUUUUAAAUUACAUAAAUUAAUGAAAAUUUGAUUAUGAUUUAAUAAAUAAGAAUUAAUUACCUUAGGGAUAACAGCGUAAUGUUUUUGGAGAGAUCAUAUUAAUAAAAACGUUUGC